rnacentral:ncRNA from 1 species
GGCACCUGCACUCGUUGCUGUGCAACGAUAGCAAAAGA